UCUAGCCAGUCGGACAUCACCACCCCUUUUGCUUCAGCUGCCACCUCCACCACAUCCUUCGCUCAGUGGCAUCAUCGAUUGGGUCACAUUUGUGGCUCCCGCUUGUCUUCUUUGGUUAGGAGUGGUGUUCUAGGGUCUGUAUCUGGUGAUAGUUCACUAACUUGUAUGGGUUGUAAGCUUGGCAAGCAGAUACAACUUCCAUAUCCCUCUAGUAAUUCUGUUUCUCAACGACCUUUUGAACUUGUUCACUCUGAUGUAUGGGGUCCUGCCCCCUUUGUUUCGAAAGGGGGUCACAAAUAUUAUAUAAUUUUCAUUGAUGAUUUUUCUCGCCACACUUGGAUCUACUUUAUGUCAUCUCGUAGUCAAGUGCUUCAAAUUUACAAGUCGUUUGCUACCAUGGUUCGCACUCGGUAUGAUUCCUCUGUUCGAGUUUUUCGUGCUGAUUCGGCUGGUGAGUACUUAUCUCGUGCGCUUCGUGGUUUCCUUGCUGAACAGGGUACCCUUCCUCAGUAUUCCUGUCCUGGUGCACACGCUCAAAAUGGGGUGGCUGAACGCAAACAUCGUCACGUCCUUGAGACUGCUCGGGCUCUUCUUUUAUCUUCUGCUGUUCCCCCGCACUUUUGGGCUGAGGCUGUCUCUACCGCUGUUUAUCUCAUUAAUAUUCAGCCUUCUGUUGCUCUUCAGGGAGGGAUACCAGUUGAUCAUCUAGGUGAUGGUCCAGCUGAUUAUAGUGGUCUACGCCUGUUUGGUUGUGCCUGUUUUGUUCUUCUCCACCCUCAUGAACGCACCAAAUUGACUGCUCAAUCUGUUGAAUGUGUUUUCCUUGGCUACAGUUUGGAGCACAAAGGUUACCGUUGCUGGGACCCUAUUGCUCGAAGACUGAGAAUCUCCAAAGAUGUCACUUUUGAUGAGUCUCGCUCCUUCUACCCU
rnacentral:rRNA from 1 species